rnacentral:rRNA from 1 species
CCUACGGGAGGCAGCAGUGGGGAAUAUUGGGCAAUGGGCGCAAGCCUGACCCAGCAACGCCGCGUGAAGGAAGAAGGCUUUCGGGUUGUAAACUUCUUUUGUCAGGGACGAAGCAAGUGACGGUACCUGACGAAUAAGCCACGGCUAACUACGUGCCAGCAGCCGCGGUAAUACGUAGGUGGCAAGCGUUAUCCGGAUUUACUGGGUGUAAAGGGCGUGUAGGCGGGGAAGCAAGUCAGAUGUGAAAACCACGGGCUCAACCUGUGGCCUGCAUUGGAAACUGGUUUUCUUGAGUGCUGGGGAGGCAAUCGGAAUUCCGUGUGUAGCGGUGAAAUGCGUAGAUAUCCGGAGGAACACCAGUGGCGAAGGCGGAUUGCUGGACAGUAACUGACGCUGAGGCGCGAAAGCGUGGGGAGCAAACAGGAUUAGAUACCCUUGUAGUC